CCCUUAGAUGUCCGGGCUGCACGCGCGCUACACUGAAGGAAUCAGCGUGCUAAAACCAUUGUCGAAAGGCAUUGGUAAACCCAUUAAAAUCCUACGUGAUUGGGAUCGGGAAUUGCAAUUAUUUCCCUUGAACGAGGAAUUCCCAGUAAGUGUGGGUCAUAAGCUCGCGUUGAUUACGUCCCUGCCCUUUGUACACACCGCCCGUCGCUGCCCGGGACUGAGCCGUUUCGAGAAAAGCGGGGACUGCUGCUGUCGGGGCUUUCGGGCCUUGGCUUCGGUGGAAACCGCUUUAAUCGCAGUGGCUUGAACCGGGCAAAAGUCGUAACA
rnacentral:rRNA from 1 species